UACGGAGGAUGCAAGCGUUAUCCGGAAUGAUUGGGCGUAAAGCGUCCGCAGGUGGCUAUGUAAGUCUGCUGUUAAAGAGUGAGGCUCAACCUCAUAAGAGCAGUGGAAACUACAUGGCUAGAGUGCGUUCGGGGCAGAGGGAAUUCCUGGUGUAGCGGCGAAAUGCGUAGAGAUCAGGAAGAACACCGGUGGCGAAAGCGCUCUGCUAGGCCGCAACUGACACUGAGGGACGAAAGCUAGGGGAGCGAAUGGG
rnacentral:rRNA from 1 species